UUGAAAGGGAAACGAUUGAAGUCAGCCGUACUUGCGGGUAAUCAGCCUUUUGGGUGUGAUUCUGUGGAGUGUGAGGAGUUAAACGCCUUCAUGCCUGCAUAUUCGUGCACUUUGGGUGUACUUGCCCGUGUGGUUAGUUAACAUCAAUUUUGGUCGUUAUAAAAUGGCUGGAGGAAUGUAGCUUCGAUCUCGUAUUGAAGUGUUAUAGCCUUCGGUAGAUGUGAUGAUCGGGAUUGAGGAUUGCAACGGAUACCUUUCGGGGCUACUCGUCUGAUCUCUGAUUGUUGCUUUGGUGCUGAAAGCGUGCUUAUGGUUAUCAAAGUCGAUGGUCAAUAGGUUAGAACGGGUUAAAUUCGUUAAGGAUGUUGACGUA
rnacentral:rRNA from 1 species